rnacentral:rRNA from 1 species
AACGAACGCUGGCGGCAUUCCUAACACAUGCAAGUCGAACGACACCUUCGGGUCUCGUGGCGCACGGGUGCGUAACGCGCGGUAACCUGCCCGUAGGCUCGGAAUAACUCCCCGAAAGGGGUCCUAUUAUGGGAUAAUGUCGUCGGUCCAAAGUUGUAUCGCCUUUGGCUAGGCCCGCGUUCGUUUCGCUCGUUGGUAGGGUAAAAGCCUACCAAGGCGACGAUCCAUAGCUGGUCUGAGAGGAUGAUCAGCCACACUGGGGCUGAGACACGGCCCAGAGUCCUACGGGAGGCAGCAGUGGGGAAUAUUGGACAACGGGCGGAGGAGUGAGCCCGCAAUGCCGCGUGAGGGAUGAAGGCAUUAGGGUUGUAAAGCACUUUUACCCGGGAUGAUAAUGACGGUACCGGGAGAAUAAGCUCCGGCUAACUCCGUG